GACGAAGGUGGCGAGCGUUGUUCGGAAUCACUGGGCAUAAAGCGCACGUACGGUGCCGUAAGUCAGAUGUGAAAUCCCUCGGCCCAACCGAGGAACUGCGUCUGAUACUGCGGUGCUUGAGGACCAGAGGGGUGCAUGGAAUUUCCGGUGGAGCGGUGAAAUGCGUUGAUAUCGGAAGGAACUCCGGCGGCGAAAGCGAUGCA
rnacentral:rRNA from 1 species